AAUGUUCUACAUUGUCACCCACUGAGGUCCAGUUUUCCCCCUUUGUCCUGGUGCCUGAAACUGCCAGUACUGAAGACAUGAUUCCAAGGGACCCAGGGCCCUUUCCCUCUGCCUCUGAUCCCACACUGCAUUGGCAUUCCACCUUCUUUGGUUCCUCUGGGCUGUGACGGUCCUCGUUUUUGGUAUCCUGGAGGAGGUCCUGGAGGACUCCAUGGAGUUUUUCUGGUUUUCAUGUCUCGGGACGACAGGGUGAUGGUUAUUGAGAGGAGGGCCAUGGAAGUGAAGUGCCGUUCUCAUCACACCCCAGCAGGACACCAUGCUUUCCACAUGACUCCCACUGUCAGUGUUGACCUCGGUCACCUGGCUGAGAUGUCCCUGUUUUCAUCCUGUCCUCUUGGGAAUUAAGUCACUGUGCAUGGCCCACCCUUGAUGAGUGGUGGUUAUGCUCCCCAGAUAGGAAGAAAGGGACCAAGGCAUAAUCCUUAAAGAAUGACACACCCAUUAAGAAAAGCAGGAUAUUGGAGAAGGAAAUGGCAACCCACUCCAGUAUUCUUGCCUGGAAAAGUCCAUGGACAGAGGAGCCUGGCGGGCUGAAGUCCAUGGGAUUACAUGACUGAGCAUGUGUGCACGAGGGUGGAGGGAACUGGGUUGGUAGCAAUAAAGUGGUAGAACUAAAAAAAAGAAAGAAAAAAAAAGAAAAGCAGGAUAUGACAGAAACUGGUUAAAACUCAUUACUUCCAAGAUGGCAGAAGAUUCUACUUUCAGUAGACCUUGAGCCCCAAUGUAAUGCAUUAACAUACUAAAUGACACACCCACAGGUGACAAGACAGUUCACAGGCUGACUAUAAAAGGCCAAAAAGAGGGCAAUGGCUCAGUUCUUGUCAGUUUCCACCCCUUCUCCAAAAUAGUUGGGAUAAUCCUCCCCCUAGGUAGCCUAUGAAGCUACCCAGCCCCUAAAAACUAAGCACCUAUAUUUCAGGACCACUGUCACCUCUGAGACACCCCACAUUCUGCCUAUUGAGUGUGUUGUUUGCUGCUUAGUCACCAAGUUGUGCCCCAUGUUUUGCAACCCCAAAGACUGUAGCCCGCCAGGCUCCUCUGUCCAUGAGAUUGUCCAGACAAGAAUACUGGAGUGUGUUGCCAUUCCCUCCUCCAGGGGAUCUUCCCUAUCCAAGGAUCGAACCUGAGUUUCCUGCAUUGGCAGGUGGAUUCUUUACCACUGAGUCACCAGGGAAGCUAAGGAGUAUGUUUCUCUCUGUAAACCUGCUUUCACUUUACUCUGGCUCACUCUUGGAUUCUUUCCUAUACAGAGCCAAGGACCCUCACCUGAGACCUGGGCAUGACUAUGCUCUUAUGGCCCGUUUUCCUGCACCAUCUUUCCUGAUGGUGGGACCUCAAAGGGCAUAAUCUCAGUCCAUCUGUUGGGCUGUGGCUGUCCUCUGUGGAGGGUGGCUGGGAUUCGUCCCAAGCCAGGUAGAUUCAAGUAGCCUCUCAGGUGGUGGCUGACACUGCCUGUGGAAUCUAGCAGAGACCAGUUCUCUGGCCAUGAAGGAGCCCGAGGCUUUUCUCCGUUCAUCUUUUUCAUUCUCCCCUAUUGCUCUAUCUCUUUGGACUCAAGAAGAUUCACCAAGAGAACCAUGGAGACAUCCUAAUUACGGGGGCAAAUAGGGGAUAAGCCAAAAAGUUCAUUUGUUUUUUUCCCUAAGCUGGUUCUAGUAGCACUUAGUUGUCUUUAACUUCAUUCAAAACGAUGCUUGUAGAUUCUUUGGUGACAGCUGUCAUAUCAGUGAGCAUUUUUUAAAAAGCAUCAAAAUUGGUAAACGUUUGUGUAACCAUUUUAAUAUUGAAGAUGGAAGAAAAACAGCAACAUUUUCAGCAUAUUAUGCUGUAUUAUUUCAACAAAGGUAAAAAGGCAACU